CCUACGGGUGGCUGCAGUGGGGAAUAUUGCACAAUGGGGGAAACCCUGAUGCAGCGACGCCGCGUGAGUGAAGAAGUAUUUCGUUAUGUAAAGCUCUAUCAGCAGGGAAGAAAAUGACGGUACCUGAGUAAGAAGCCCCCGCUAACUACGGGCCAGCAGCCGCGGUAAUACGUAGGGGGCAAGCGUUAUCCGGAUUUACUGGGUGUAAAGGGAGCGUAGACGGGAGUGCAAGUCUGGAGUGAAAGGCGGGGGCUGAACCCGCAGACUGCUCUUGAAACUGUACGGCUGGAGUGCAGGAGAGGUAAGUGGAAUUCCGAGUGUAGCGGUGAAAUGCGUAGAUAUUAGGAGGAACACCAGUGGCGAAGGCGGCCUACUGGACUGUAACUGACGUUGAGGCUCGAAAGCGUGGGGAGCAAACAGGAUUAGAUACCCUUGUAGUC
rnacentral:rRNA from 1 species